CUGGGAGAGACUGGGCUACACUGGGAUCAUCCUGAGAUCGUACUGGGAGAGACUGGGCUACACUGGGAUCAUCCUGAGAUCAUACUGGGAGCAACUGGGCUACACUGGGAUCAUCACUGGGAGUGUCUGUACCCA